rnacentral:tRNA from 1 species
UUAAUUGAAGCCAAAUAGAGGCGUAUUACUGUUAAUAAUAUAAAUGAAUCAAAGAUUCCAAUUAAG